GGAGAAAGGUACCACCAGGCUGAAAGGGCAGCCCGGCACCAGAAGAUACGGCGGUACCUGUCAGAAAAGCUGUCCAAUCUCAAAAGAAAUCACUACAAAGGCUCAUCCCUUUGCGGCCUGUCCUCCCCCGAUGCGUGGUCCCACCACGGACUGCCCAUGCUGUUGCAGGUCUGCCAUCGCUUGCACCCCAUGUUGUAGCCUUUUUACCCUUUUCUUCAUAUUAAUUUAGCUUAAUUUAUAUAUUGCCAAUACUAUUGAAAUGGAACAAAUGUACUAUCGCAGCCAAUAUGAGCUGAAACGCCACUGCACGUGGCACGCGAUGAGAGUUGUCUCUCAGAUUGUUCAGCAAACCUUGGUAUGCGUUGAGGUAGAAACAAAUCACUUCUUGUGCUCGUUGCACCACUAUGCCGUUCCGUGUCAAUUUUCAGCUCAUGGUGGCACAAUGAGUGCAAGAAGCAACCUGCCUAAACCUCAGCAAACACUGAGGUUCACUGAUAAUCCGACAGGUGGCUCUGAUAGUACCGCACGCCAAGCGUCAUGGCGCUUCAACUAAUAUUGGUCACAAUAGUACUUCCUCGAAUGUUUCUGGUUUUUCUGUACUACCUAGCCAUUCCGCCCAGCGAAACAAUGUAUGAUUUCAUAACUUCAUAAUAAAAAUAUCAAA